ACCUCCAGCCAGCAAAUGCCUCCUACAAACUAGCAGUCAACUUUCUCCAAGAGUAGCAGGGUGGACAUAUGUCCCAGGGCCAAUAAUGGAAUGACAUCCUCAAUUAGAUUGGUCCCCUACCCCACCCCAAGAAGUCUUAUGCAUUUAUUUGGGAACACAGGCUUUGGAAUAAGAUGAAGUCACCCAAACUCCAUUGUGAAAUCUAGUCUCCUUGCAAUCCGUCUGACCUCAGAGAGGCAAACAAAAUGUCUGUUUGGGAGAUGGUACAGAUGAGGAAAUGGAAGCCUACGGAUCUAGGUUCUCUGGACCAGACCACCGCAGCAGAGACCUGUGUUUUCUCCUGGGGAUUCAGAAACCCCACUCCCCUUGCCUUCAGAGGCGCUGCCUCCUUCCAUUGUGGGGCAGAGGUGAAGAAGCAAAGAAAGUGUCCCUUUCAUCCUCGCUAUAGAAUGAAAAUUCAUCACCACAAUUACUCACCAAACCUGAGAGGAGGACAGAAGAAAACAUGUUUACAUUACUUUUUCUUUCAUUAAAAAGCAACACGUGUUUUUGCCAAUCAGAUAGAAAACACAGAUGCAGAAAAAG
rnacentral:lncRNA from 1 species